AGUAUACAUGAAGUUAUAAUAAAUGCAAUGGUAAUCAGCACCAAAUGCCUCCAUUAACAAGCAAAUAUUUACAUUGGACUUGUUCCUCACAAGUAUAAUGCUGCUCAAUAAAUGUUCGAACGAAACAUACGUCUAGACCAGAAGCUGGAAACUGAAGUACAUCUUCAAACAGGCAUCUUGGUCCAGAGAAAUACACUUCACAUUUUACUAGCAUGUUUACCGAAUAAUGAAUGCCGCCCUUCAGCAAUGAGCUCCCCCGUUGUUUUAUUUUUCACAAGUACACUUGUCCCGGAAUAUCCUCCUUUCUGACCCAAGACUCUACCAAUAACCUCCAACUCA
rnacentral:misc_RNA from 1 species